AAGUGAAUUUGAAUUAUGUUUGAAAGAGGAAUUGGUGUGGGAAAGAGAGAUGAGAUUAAUAAUUAAAAAAAGAGAAAAGAGAAAAGAGAAAAGAGAAGAUGAAGGAAAUGGUAGCUAGCUUUUUCAACUGCUACACGUCGAUGCCGUAAGCAGCAAUAAUAAUAUCAAGUCGGCCACACGCAACCGUUCUCUUCUCUCUUCUCUCUCUCUCUCUCUUGUUAUUGUUAUUGUUAUUGCAUUCCAUUUAGCAGCAGUAUCUAACAUCUAACUACUACUCAUCAUUAUUUCAAUUCAUAAUUAUGCUUUCAUUUCAUUUCAUGCCUUCUUCAUCAUUCAUUUCUUUCUUUCCUUUGUCUCUCCCUCUUUUUUCAUUCCAUGCUGCAAAAAUGACAAAAAGAAAAACAUCAUUAAUUAAAUUUGUUGAUUAGAGAAAACCCAGAAUGGCCAAUCCUUAUUACUGUGUUUCUCUGACAAAAAGUUUGCAUUUUUAAACGUUUUCUUCUGUUGGGUCUUUAUUAUGUAAUGUAACUAACCACCCUUUCUUUUUCUUCUUCUUCUCCUUCUUCAUUAAUGCCUUAUGUUAUUAUGUUAGAUCCAUUUUGUUUUUGAUACACAUGAUGUGAUCAGUGAUCUAUCUAUCUUUCUUUCUUUCUUUGUUCUGUUCUGUUCUUUCUCUAUGCGCGUGUCCCAUACUCUUCUCCAUUAAUCCUCACUCACAGUAUUGUGUAACAAGUAAUUAACAACAAUGUCAAUAUCAUUCAUUGAGGUUAAGCUUUGCAAACACAAACUAGCACCAGAGAGGAAUGUAUGUAUGUGACAUAACUUUGCUCAACUCUGAGUCUGCCAUUGUCUUCUUAAUGAGGACUCUCAACAUGGUUGCUAUAUGGAAGAUCAGAUUUUGAGGGGAAAACCAAAAUGGUGGAAUGGAUUGGAUUGCAAGCUGCUGAUGAGUUGACAGAACAGCAGUGCUAGCUGGUACAUGAUUGAGUGAGGGUAUGUUUGUAAAUACACUUGUUUGUGUUUUUCCUGGUUUCUUUCAUUUUUUUAUUUUAUUUUAAAAUUGGCUAUUUUUUUGGGUUAAUAUUUGGUGACAGUUUGUAUUUAAGCAGAAUAUUACAAAUUAGUACUACAAAUUUUUGUGUGUGUGUGUGGUUGAUCAUGAAUGAUUUUUUACUUUGUUGCAAGGAUGAGGUAUGAGACUAUGAGCUAUCUGAGAAUUUCUUGCUAAUGUUGUUUGGUUAAGUUUCUUUGUACUUUUUUGUCAUGGCUGAACUUUUUACUUAAACUAGACUUUGUACUUGUUUGUCUUUUCUUUAA